rnacentral:lncRNA from 1 species
CAAAACUUGCAUAACCAAUUUAACUCCCCUAACACUCCCCAUUCCGAAAUUAUCUAUAAUUGAGUCCUAUAGUCUUUUAGCAUAAGCUCCCUUGACCCGCCUAUCCAAGUCUAAUUUAUAUAUGUUCCAACAUACACACAAAUUUAUAAUUGUCCAAAAUACACAAGCAUAACGGUUUCUCACCCAAAAGAGACAGUGGCUGAAGAGUUAACACUUGAAGGAGAAGGCUGCCCGAGGAUCAUAUCAAAAUGCAUUUCAUCAGUGACAUAAACACCCGAGGUAGUACUAUUAUCUUGAUAACCAUAGGUGUAUGUGCACUGUUUAACAGGAGGAAGGCAUCAAACAUCCACACCUUGAACCCCGAAAGGGCAUAGACGGUCUGAGCAAUAAAUCAUCGCAGCCGUGGAUGAAUCUAUCGUGUCAAAGAAAUUGAACUUAAACUGCAGAGUACACAACAUAACAUGCAACAAAUAUUAAGCUUCAAAUAAAAAUAUUGGUUCCCAAGGCAACAAAACAAGUACCAUAUCAUAAGUAGUACUACAAUUAAGUAUGCAUAGUAAAAAAGAAAUGAUGAAAAUUGAAACUCCUUACCCCAACUCCAUUAGAUCGAGGGCAAUUAUCACAUUAAUUGCAACUAACCCAGAGAAGGUCGCUACAUGUAUCAAUCAACACAGUAUAUUCUCUUGGUGGAGAUCCGAGCUUGACUAUGGUUGAAUAUGUAAUAUUAUUAUCAACAUCUAAAAAUAAAUAAAUAAAAUUCAUUUCCCUAUCUAACUAUACAACACAACAUAAGAGAAAGAAAAAAACAGAAAAGAAUGUGAGAAUAACGUGGGAAUAGAAGAAACUAAAGUUAUAAAUCAAAGAGUUUAUGGGAGUUGCCUUGGACGGGGAAACUCGCAACCAUCGUGUUUGAUGUCAAGGUCAAGCUUAUUAGUGAACACUUUGAUGACUUCUAAUUUAUUUAGAGACCCCAAUUCAUUUGAGCAAUUUUGGAAAGAUUUAUUAUAAUAACUUUUUAUCAUUCCAUCCUCACCAAAAGACAUAUUAUCUGAAUAAAAGAUGGUGGAUCUUUUACAUGGAUCAUGGUGAAGUGGUCUAGUAUUAAAAGUAUAUGUUUUUGCCCACACAUUUCCUUGCUUCCACUGCUUGAAUGUUUCUUGCACAUUAACAACAUCUGGCAAAAACAUAUGACUAGGGAAUACUUGAACAGCAUAACCCCAUGAAACAGAAAUUGUCCAUGAAAACCAUUUUUCGUAGCAAAUUGUUUGUUGCAACAUUCUUUGAGAACCAACAUUUACUGCUUUGAAUAAAUGUUGGAGAGCUUGUGUUGUUGUCAUGUUUGGAAAGAUUGGAUCUGUGAAAUCAGGAUGAUGUAGAGAUAAUAAGGGUGUUACUGGAUGUGCAGCUAACAGGCCAAAGAUAUUUCCAGUCAAAUCAACCUAUGUCAUUUCAUAAUAAGAAAAGCAAUACAUUAAUAAGAAAAUGAAACAAAGAGCAAUUUAGAUUCACAAUAGUUGUGACUACAAUGCAGUUAAAACAUCUGAAUCCUUUUGUUAAAAUUGGACGGACCAAAUUUUAAAAUUAAAUUUCAAUUAUUUUUUAAAUUAAAUUUCAAUUAUUUUUAAAUUAAAUUUGAGAUUGAAAUCUGAACCAUUCCGAUAUGCUGCAAUGCAGUCAGAGGAAGCCUACUACAGCAAAUCUCAAUCCAAAAAGAGUGCAUUGAGAAUUUUUAAUUUUAGUAAUCAUUUUAAAAUUUCAAAAAUCAUUCAAACUAAGUUUUGUAUAAUUUUUGUAUAAGUCACAAUUUAAACCAAUUUAUUAGCACGAAUCUCAAAGAAAUUAAUGAAAUUUUAAAGAGAUUUAUAAAAUUAAAAUACAAAAUGAUUGUGUAAAAAAACUAAUGUGAUCAAGAAUUUUAAAUUUUAUAGAUCAUCCCAUAAUUUGUUAAUCUUAAAGAUAAAAUUGUACUAUAUCAACAAAUUCAUAAACUAAAUUGACCAUUCCACCAAAAACAAAUUACUUAUAAUUUUUUAGCAUUAAUUUCAAUCUAAUAAUGAAUUAAAUUAACAAUAUCUCACCUGGUGAAAAGCUGGUACAUGUAUCAAUCCAACACCAAGUUCAGCCAAACAAGAGUACACCCUACCAUCACUUCCAUAAAGAUGAUGAUACCUUUCCAAACAAGAAUCAAAAACCUUAGCCAAAACAUUAGCCAAAGAAGAACUAAUAGCAAAACCAGCACCACCAAAAGCCAUUCCAAAACCAAACAACCUAUUCUGCUCAUAAAUCUCAGAGUGUGCACCAAUAUAGUACCAAAGCUCAUGAUCAUAUUUAGAAAGUGUCUUAACCAAAUUCUCUGGCAAGAAAAUUGUGUCAUCAUCACCAAACACAUACCACCUCACAUUUGAAUGAUUCAAAGCAACUGUCUCAACAACGACUCGAGCCACGCGUAUCGCCGAUCGAAGUCCACCUUUAAAAGUGUAUCGAAACCGCGACGUGUCUCGAGAUAAACAAAGAGGAGGAAGAGAAGAAGGGUCAUCUUCAUUACUAAUACUAUCCAUAAAAACACAACCUUUCAUUGCAUUGUUGGUUUUCCACCAUAGUUUCACAUAAUCUUUUCUUUUUGUCCAUGAACUCUUGCUUGAAGCAAUUCCAAACACAAUGUGAUCUAAAGUGGUGUUGGUUGAAAUUGUUGACACAUCUUGUGAUGAUGAAUGAUGCAAAUGUUGUAGUAGCUUUGAAUUUGAAUUUGAUGAAUGACAUAAAAGCCACAAAAUGAAGAUGUGACUAAAAUGAAAUUAACAAAAAUUGUGCUUUGGUGUGUUUCUUUAAUAACUGCAUGUUAAUUAACAAUGGGUAUUGGGGAAAUGAAUAUUAUUUUGAAUCUAGUUAUGUUCUUAAGUUGUAAAGAACUAUAUAAAUUGUUUAUAAAAAAAGAACUAUAUAAAUUAAACAAAAAUAUAAUUAAAAAAAGUGCCACCGCGAUUAACGGUGUGAGAAACAUGAAAUGUGCCUAGUUUUGACGUUUGAAGUAAGUUAUAAUUUGAUGUGUAAAAUUAAGGUAAGGUUGGUGUAUGAGAAGAAAAUAGUGUCACUUCCAAUUAGAUCUGUACGGUUGUGUGGUGAGCAUGGUCAUUGGAUGUAUUGACUAUAUAGAGAAGGGCAUCAAAAGAAAUGUUUAGGUAAGUUGCUUUAUUCCGAGUGGUGGUUGCAUAGGCUUUGGCAUGUGAUUGUGUUCCCUCGUGAGUCACUAAAAAACAAAAGCCAUGGAAAAGGAAUUGAAAUGGAAUCUUGUAGUACAUUGCCAUGGAAAAGGAAAUGGAAUCUUUUAGCCAUUAUAUGUCAUGCGCAUCAUUUUCUACCUUUUCCCUUCAUUAUUUGUCUUAACCGAUAAAAAGUUGUUCCAAUCAAAAUUGAACUUAGUUAAAAUGUGUCUUUGUAAUAUUUUAAAUAUUUUUUGUUUGUAAAUGCGAUAAUUAUUAUAAAAUAGAUGGAGUAAUUCUGUUUCUUUUAGAUUUUUUUCAAAAAAUAUAGUCACUUUGUUUAAAUAUUAAAGUUAUUUUUAAGAUUUUUUCAUUGUUUAUUAUUGAUUCUUGAAAAAAGUAAAAAUUUGCUUAAAAAAUUCAAAUUUCCUUAAAAUGAAAAUUUAUUUUCAGUAGUUUCUAAAAAAAAUAUUUCUUAUGGAUAAUUUUUUUUUAAAAUUAAAUAAUUUUUAUCACAAUAAAUAAACAUAAAACAACAUUUUGUUUUAAAAAAAUCUCUAAAUUAUUAAUAUAAUUUUUUUUAUAAUUCAUAAUAAACAAACAAUAUACAACUCAUACAUAUUAGAUUAAAGUGUGUCAAACACUUAUACAAUAUUUGUUUUAUUAAAAGAAACACAAAAUUGAUAUAUAUAAUUAGAUUCAAUUACCUAUAUGUAUAAAAAUACAUAUAUAAUUACACUCAAUUAACUUUUUCUUUACUUUAAUAUUGGUUGUUCAUGAUUUACAACAACUCUAAUAAGGUUUUGGUUUGGCCAAUGCAUUAGCAGCCACGCGAAAUAGGUGUCUAUUGGUUUUAUACACAAAUUCAGGCAUGAUUGCACAAUUCUACUAAUGGUUUCACAUGUUUGUUACGGCUUUUUUAUGCUUUUUUCUUCAUUCUUAUUUUCCUUCAAAUUGUAAGUAAUCACUUUCCUUUCCCUUUUCCUCACAUUUUUCUCGUCAUAUAUCUUUGUCCACAAUAAUUUCCCAGACUGACCUGUUCAAAUUUGUCUUUACUUGUAAAUUAUUGCAUAAAAGUAACGCUAAUAAAUUAACUCUGGCAUCGCAUGCUUAUUUGCCUUCUAUUAACUAACUCCCAAAAAAAAAAAAAACAAAUAGGUUACGUCAAUGAAGCAAGAUGUGUAUGUGUAUGUGAGUUUGCGUAUAUCUUUGAAGACUAACUACUCGCUCGGUGGAAACUGGUUCAAGCCCUUAUAGAUCAUCAUGCAUGUUUAGAUGCACUAACGUCAAAACGCAUUUUUUUCCUAUUAUAAUUUUAAAAAUAUUUUCAUUUUCUUUUAAACAAAAAAGCGUGCAACGUCACGAAAGAAAUACCGAUCAUGUUCUAUAUAUUGGAUCCGUUUGUAUAUGAUUUCUUUAAAAACGAUUUUUUUUAAUAAUUUUAAAAAUAAAGUUUUAAAUAAAAUUUAAUUUAAAUAUUUCAUCUAUUUGUUAUAAUUUUUUUUUAGAUAAUAAAAUUUUAAAAAUAAUUAAAAUAAAAAGCUAUUUUGAGAAACUCUUCUUAAAAAUCACUUUAAAAUAUACUUUUUCCCAUCAUUAUUAUAAGCAAAAAAUAAAACUAAUUUUAUAUUUAUUAAGAAAAUUAGUUUAGUGCAAUUAAUUUUCAAGAGUUCAUGUCAAACAUAAUUCGAAAUUAUUAAAUUGUUUACUGGAACGUCAAACAUUCAACUAUCAACACUAAAUAUUUUUUAUUAAAGUAAGGGUAGUAUAUUAUGAAUGUUAACAUUAAAUGAAUCAAAAAUAGUAAAUUUUUGCUUAUAAUAGUGAUGGGGUCACUGUUUUGCUUAUAAUACUACAGAGAGUAUAUAUUUUUUAAUAAAAAACAUGAUUUUUAUCAUGUUAAAAUAUCUAAUAAUGAAUAUUUAAAUUAUUAGAUUCAAUUUAAAUAUUUCAUCUAUUUGUUAUAAUUUAUUUUUUUAGAUAAUAAAAUUUUAAAAAUAAUUAAAAUAAAAAGUUAUUUUGAGAAACUCUUCUUAGAAAUCACUUUAAAAUAUACUUUCUCCAAUCAUUUAUUAUAAGCAAAAAUAACUAGUUUUAUAUUUAUUAAGAAAAUUAAUUUGAUGCAAUUAUUUUUCAUUUACUUGCUAAAAGAUAUAUACUUGAUUUACGUACAGGAAAAUUGUAUUAUUAUAAAUAUAAUAAAUUUAACCACUAGAAAACUACAUUACUAUAUGCUGCAGUUGCAGAAAUAUAGUAAAACAGAUGCAGAAGUAUUGUUCACGUGUACAAAAGUUGUGCCAAAUAAGUUUUAAGUUACUUUUCAUAUACUUGCUAAAAGAUAUACGAUGCAUUUUGUAUAGCUUUUACUUGAUUUACGUAUAGAAAAGGAAAAUUGUAUUGUUGAUUCAUAACGAAAGGAAAUAUAGAAGAAAAUAGAUACAAUAGAGACAAGAAGAAAAAAUAUGUCUCACAUAAAAAAUACUUGAAAUAAAUAUUUGUCAUUAAUAAAUACAAAAAUAUGAGAAGAAUAUUUGUUAUUAAAAGAUAAAAUAACACGAAAAAAAUAUUUGUAAUUGAUACAUAAUUAAACUUUAAAGAAAUAAUUGUUAUUGAUACAUCAAAAAACAUGGGAUGAAUAUUUGUCACUAAUAUAUGAAAAAAUACAGAAGAAAUAUUUGUAAUUGUUAAAUAGAAAGAAAAAAAACAUGUAACAUAUUUAAGUAAGUGAUAAAUAUAAAAAAGAACACAAGACAAAUAUUUGUCACUAAUACAUAAAAAAAACACGGGAGAAAUAUUGAUCAUUGAUAUAUAAAUCAUGGAAAAAAUACUUGUAAUAGACAAAUAUUAAAAAAAUGUGACAUAUUUUGUCCCUUAUAAAUAUAAUAAUAAAAAAAAGGGGCAAAUAUAUAGCACACAUACUUAAAAGACAAUGGAGAAAUAGUUGUCAUUGAAACAUAAAAAAAACACAGGGGAAAAUAUUUGUAACUAGUAAAAAUAAAAAAAAUACGUCACAUAUUUUUGUUACUGAUAAAUAUAUAUAAAAAAAAACAUGAGACUAAUAUGAGAUUAAUAUUUGUAACUGCUACAUAAAAAGCACGAGGAAAUUUUUUAUCAUUGAUACAACAAAAAAUAUGUCAAAAUUUUUGUAACUAAUAAAUAUAAAAUAAAACAUGUGAGAUAUUUUUAUCACUGAUAAUUAUAAAAAAUAAAAAUAGACAAAUAUUUGUCACUGAUACAGAUAAAACACAUAACAAAUAUUUGUCAAUAAUAAAUAUAAAAAAUCAUGAGACAAAUAUUUAUUACUGAUAAAUAUUUAAAGAAAACACGAGACAAAAAUUUAAAAAAAUAUUGCACAAUGUUUUUCAAUGAUAAGUUAUAGGACAAUAAUUUGUUACUGAUACAUAAAAAACAAUAGAGAUAAAAUAAGAGAUAAAAAACAAUAGGAUUAGGUCGUUGUCAAAUAUUUCCCACUUAUUAUGAAUUGCAAUUUUAUUUUAUCAUCAUUAGUUAUAAUAAUUUAAAUCAUUUAUCUAUAUAAUAAAUAAGAGAUAAAAUAUUUAUUAAUUUUCUUUAAUUAAUAUCUAAGAGAAAAGUAUAGUAAAUUUUACCAGUAAAAUACAAAAUCAAAUAUAAAUGACUUCACUUAAAACAGUUUUUUAUUUUAAUACAAGCAUCAAUUUUUUAUUUUAAUCUUAAUGCCAAAAAUUAUUUACGAUAACAGAUCAUCUCUGAUUUGAGAUUCUAAAUUCAUGAAACAGUUAAAUAGCAGUUGAGACAACCAUAGAAUAAUAUAAACUAUUUGAAAAAAUUAAAUACUAGUGUUGGUGGAAGCAAACAAUAUUACAAAGAUUAAAAGAUGAAACAUAAAGUUAAAUAGUUGCAAAUUAACUCCCGGAAUAUAUAAAUACAAAAUUGUUAGUAUAUUACAUAUUUACAUACAAAAAUUGACCCUGUACACAUGUUAGUAUAUUAAAUAUAAAAUUUUUGUAUUAGAUAUUGUGUAUUUCUUUUAAUAAAAAAUUAUAUAUUCUAUUGUUUUUAAUAUAUAUAAUAUUAUUUGUGGAAUUCUUAACAUGUAUCCUUAAGACUCAUAGUAGCAUUUUCCUUUUUCUUAUUAUCAUGUAUAUAAACAUUAGAUUUAUUAUAAAUAUACUCAAUCAAAUCAUAUUCAAUUAAAUGUGUAUUAAGUUAUAUAAAUAUGACAAUACAUAAAAAUUACUCCUACUCUUACCAAAUUAGUGUGCAUUUCAGAGUGUAACACAUAGAGUUGUAUAUAUAUUUGGCUUAAUAACUCAAUAUAAAUGACUAAUUUUACUAAUUUAACAAUUAAUUAUUGGCAUAAUAUAUUUAUGGUCAAGUACAAAUUUUUAUAUAAAUUUAAAAUUCGCAGUUAUAUAAUUUAGUCAUCGGUAUUUAUAAAUAUUUUUUAAAAACUUCUUAUUCGUCGAUUUGAAAUUAUUUAAUAAAGUAUCAAAUUGUUUUAAAAUUUUAUAAAAAUUUGCAGAGUUGAUCUAUUCGAUGAGAACUUUUAAUUUGACAGUUGGAUUAAUGACUUUCAUCUUUUAUAUUGAAUUAUUAGUGGAUUAACUCAUAAAAGAGUUACUCGUGGAGUCGAUGUAUCCAUAUAUAUAUAUAUAUGAAACUAAAUUCAUUCAAAAUCUCAUGAUUCGUCGUGUAUGCCUUACUCCCGAUUGUUUUAUCCUUCCUUCGUUUCGUUUUUUCUCACGUUUUUGUCCAUAGUCUUUUUGUCUUCUUGAAGAAUAUCAAUCUGCUCUUUUCAACCAACAUUGCUUUACCUAUUCUCUUUCAGUGGAGAUAUAUGAAUAUUAGCAACAAGCAUCAAUUUUUAAUUUUAAUCUCAAUGUCAGGAAUUAUUUACAAAUGAUCUUUGAUUUAAGAUUCUAAAUUCAUGGAAGAGUUAAAAUAGCAGAUGGAACAACCAUAGAAUAAUGUAAACUACUUGAGAAAAUUAUACACUAAUGUUGAUUAAAGCAAACGAGAUUGCAAAGAUUAGAAGAUGAAACAUGAAGUUAAAUCUUUGGAAACAAUUGUGGAAACCUUUCCAGAUAAGAGACUCAAAUUCAAUUUUAAUCCAAAGAUUAAUAAUUGACCUCACUUUUCUACAUGUUAGGAUAUUAAAUAUUCAAAUUUUGUAUUGUGUAUUUCUCUUACUCAAAAAUUAUAUAUUUUAUUUUUUUAAUAUAUAAAUAUUAUUUCUAAAAUCCUUAUAUAUACCCGUAGGAUACAUGUUAAUAUUUUCCCUUUUUAUUGCCUUGUAUAUAUACAUUAGAUUUAUUACAAAUACACUAUAUAAAAUAUAUUUAAUUAAAUCCGUAUUAAGUGAUAUUAGUCUGGACAUAAAAAAUUACUCCUACUCUUAUCAAAUUAAUUUGCACCAACUUAUUAUUUUGUAUAUAGAAUAUCACAAUUAUUUUUCUAUUACUUAGAGAUUAAUUUGCACCAAUAAAGUAAUUCUUUCAACUUUCUAUUAUUUUAAGACAAAGAGAAAACUACUUAUAGAAAACAACAACUAUAUAUACAACAUCACAAUUGGAAAGUAUCCAAUAAUUAUAGAUUUGCACCAAUAACAGAGUAACAACUUAAUAGAAUUGUGACGUUCUAUCAACAUGUUACAAGAUAAUAGAGUACCACCACGGUGCAAAUUAACAUGUGGUACACUAUAUAAAAUUAUAUUUAAUUAAACCGUAUUAAGUGAUAUUAAUCUGGACAUAAAAAUUACUCCUACUCCUACCAAAUUAAUUUGCACCAACUUAUUAUCUUGUAUAUAGAACAUCACAACUUAACAAAGUACCAAUAAUAGAGUAUCCAUUAACUUAAUAGAAAACAACAACCAUAUAUACAACAUCACAAUUGAAGUCACACAUGUUACUUAUAGAUUUUAAACAUAUCAAUAUUACAUAGAUUCAAUAUUGAAAUUAAAUUACAAAAAUGGCAUAAAAAGAGCCACAAUAAUUACAGGUAAUAACUUUGACAAAAUCCCUAACUGAUGGAACUCGACUGCUUUGCUCUAGGAUUAUUGUUCUUGUCUUUGCUCACGGUCACACUUACAUUCACAUGCAUAGAACCUAACACAAGUUUUCAAUUUUAAGACAAAGCGAAAGACUAUAUACUACUUGUAGGAAAUAAAAGUUCUAAGGGGUGAACUUACAAUUAUAAUUCGUCCAUCCUAUUUGCUGAUUAGCCAAAUCGUAGACAACAAUCUUAUCUUUUAGGACAAGAUCUGCAAAAAAUAAGACAAUACUUGAAUAAAAUCAACUAUUAUCAUCAGAAUUACAAAGGUCAUAGCAAAAUAUUCUUGACUUCUUUUUGAAAAUUGGAUUGUUGUGACAAAUGGAAAACAAACAAUAAAUUUAAAUAUCUAUUAGAAAUCAUUUUGAAGGAUGAUUAGGAGAAUCCAACCAUUUUUUUAACACUCAAUGCAUUUUUCAAUUUCAAUUGCAAUGGGUUUAGUGAAAUUGUAAUGUAGUAACAAAUUAGAAUCUCUAAUAAAAUAAUGUCGCGCUAAUUAUUUGAGUCAGAUACAUAACAUUUUUAGAAUAUUUUACCAAUUAAAAGAGAAGAUAAGAAAAUCCUAAAAAAAAAAAGAUACCAUUUAAUAAUCAAAUGAGAGAACAAUAAUUUUUUUUUCCAAUUAAUAGCAGAGUUUAUAAAGUCUGUUUAAAUUGGUCCAUCAUCUAACCUCCUAAUAUUUGGUGUCCACUUUCUACUUUCUGGAAACCUAUGCAGCACAACCCAACAUUCUGUUAAAGCAAAAUGACACAUUAGUGACAUACAAUUCCAAAGAAUAACUUGUAUGAAAAAUAUAACAAACAACAUAAUAAUAAACAUAAUUUAUGCUUACCAUGAAAUCACUCUGCACAAGAUAUUGUGCUGAUUUUACAUCCAUGGAUGUUCCACCCGCAAAGUUAAAACUGACUAAAGGAAACUUAUCUACACUGAAUAUGUAAGAAACACAAAAAAGUUAAUGAAAUAUUUAGAAAUCCUAAUUGAACAAACUCCCUUUUCAUGUGAAGUAAAUAAAGAUCUUAAUAACAAAUAUUAUAUUUGUAAUUACCUGGUUCAGACCAGAUAACACGGGUUUCCUACUAAAACAAAGGGAUGGCUAAAUUGUGACACCAUAUAAGUUAUCUACAAAGCAAUUUAGAAACUGAACAUCAGUAUACAUUAAGGCCGAUACAAUUCUUAAAAUACAACAGAAAUAAGCAAACCCAAUUUUAAGAAAAUAAAUAAUAAGUAUUAUAUAAAAAAUAAUGUAAACUUCAACAUGGUGUUCAAUUGUUUGUUAAAGUAUCUUAAGACAUACAAGUCUCCAUUAACCUUAACAUGCAGAGUACACAACACAACAGGCAACAAAUAUUAAGCUUCAAAUAAAAAUAUUGACUCCCAAGGCAACAAAACAAGUACCACAUCAUAAGUAAGUAGUACUACAAUUAAGUAUGCAUAGUAAAAAACAAAUGAUGAAAAUUGAAACUCCUUACCCCAAGUCCAUUAGAUCGAGGCCAAUUAUCACAUUGAUUGCAACUAACCCAGAGAAGGUCGCUUUCUGUAUCAAUUAGCACAAUAUAUUACCUUGGUAGAGAUCCGAGCUUGACUAUUGUUGUGUACAUACUGAACAAAAAAAAAGCCAUCAAUUAUUAAUGAAAUCCCACUCCCUCUUAUUCCAUACAAAUAAAAUGAAAUUAAAUUAAGAUUUUUUUGGAUAAGUUGAAUAUGUAAUAUUAUUAUCAACAUCUAAAAAUGAAAAAAUAAAAUUCAUCUCCCUAUCUAACUAUACAACACAGCAUAAGAGGGAAAAAAAAAAGAAUAAUGUGGGAAUAGAAGAAACUAAAGUUAUAAAUCAAAGAGUUUGAUGGGAGAGAUCAUUGGCUCUACCCAAACAUCGAGUUGCCUUGGACGGAGAAAUUGACAGCGCCAUGCAAUAUUUUUGAGUUGCGAGCUCUGUCAUGAGCUCCCAACGUCUCCAUCUCAAUACGAUGGUUGUGCGGCACGACCUGAUUUAAAGGGAGGUAACUGGUACCCAUCAUGGGUACAACAAUGAUGGCCAAACAGCAUGCCAAAAAGAAUUGGUUAAUGUAGAAAUGCAUUUUCGUGUAAGGUUAGAGAGUAGAAAAAGAGUGGUGGUAGAAUUGGAGUGAAAGUUGAAAUAUAAUAGAGUAGAGCAAGAGAGAAUGAUAAUGUGAAUGAUUAUUAAGAUUAACAUUGGAGCUAUUUAUACUACUCAAUAUGAAUGAAUUAAGCUAAAAUAAAGAAAUGAACAAUGUAAAUGUAAAUAAUGCAGUGCUCACAUGAAUUGAUCCCUCACCUUUCACUUUGCAGCUCAUCAUAUUAGUAAAUUUGUUCCUCAAACUUCAAAUUAACUAAAAAACAGAAUGAUCAAUUGAUGAUAGCUUUUAGAUAUGAAGUCAAAUUAAGAAAAAGAGAUGAAAAUGAUGACAAUAAUAAUAAACAUUAUGUGUAAAGAGAUAAUGAAAGAAAAGUAAAAUUUGGUAUGUUUAGUAAACUGCCUGAUUUUAAUCGAAUCAUCACUGAUGGACUUACUCUGCGAAUCCAUAGCAUCCCAAUUAGAAGGAAUCCAUUUCUUAAUCCCUCACUUCCAAAUAAAGUUUUAACUCACAUAUUUUCAAUGCAGCAUCUAUGAACUCCAUAUACAUCUAUGAAUUGUCUUUACAUAUCAUACUUGAGUUACAUAAAUCUUUCUUUUACCAAAACUCUACCAUUUUAAAAAUUCAUAAUUUGUAAAUAAUUCAAUGCGAAAAUUCAUAUUAAGUAUUAGUACUAGCAAAAACAUUAGAAUGAAUGCAAAAAUUAAGAGAGAAGAUAAGAAAAUCCUACUAUUUACCAAUUCUCCAAUUUAUUAAAAAAAUCAACCUAUUGACAAAGCUUGCAUGACCAAUUUAACUCCCCCCAACACUCCCCAUUCCGAACAUUAUCUAUAAUUGAGUCCUAUAGUCUUUUAGCAUAAGCUCCAUUGACCCGCCUAUCCAAGUCUAAAUUCUAUAUGUUCCAACAUACACACAAAUUUAUAAUUGUCCAAAAUAAAUAAGCAUAACGGUUUCUCACCCAAAAAAGACCGUGGCUGAAGAGUUAACACUAGAAGGAGAAGGUUGCCCGAGGAUCGUGUCAAAAUGCAUUUCAUCAGUGACAUAAACACCUGAGGUAGUAUUAUUAUCUUGAUACCCAUAGGUGUAUGUGCACUGUUUAAUAGGAAGAAAGAGCCACAAUAAUUACAGGUAAUAACUUUGACAAAAUCCCUAACUCUGAACUAAUGAUGGAACUCGACUGCUUUGCUCUAGGAUUAUUGUUCUUGUCUUUGCUCACGGUCACAUUUACAUUCACAUGCAUAGAACCUAAAACAAGUUUUCAAUUUUAAGACAGAGAGAAAGACUAUAUACUACUUGUAGGAAAUAAAAGUUAUAAGGGGUGAACUUACAAUUAUAAUUCGUCCAUCCUAUUUGCUGAUUAGCCAAAUCGUAGACAACGAUCUUAUCUUUUAGGACAAGAUCUACAAAAAAUAAGACAAUACUUGGAUAAAAUCAACUAUUAUCAUCAGAAUUACAAAGGUCAUAGCAAAAUAUUCUUGACUUCUUUUUGAAAAUUGGAUUGUUGUGACAAAUGGAAAACAAACAAUAAAUUUAAAUAUCUAUUAGAAAUCAUUUUGAAGGAUGAUUAGGAGAAUCCAACCAUUUUUUUAACACUCAAUGCAUUUUUCAAUUUCAAUUGCAAUGGGUUUAGUGAAAUUGUAAUGUAGUAACAAAUUAGAAUCUCUAAUAAAAUAAUGCCGCGCUAAUUAUUUGAGUCAGAUACAUAACAUUUUUAGAAUAUUUUACCAUUUAUAAAAGUUUCCAUUCAAUCGGAUAAAAAAAAA